GACGAACGCUGGCGGCGUGCUUAACACAUGCAAGUCGAACGGAAAGGCCCUGCUUUUGUGGGGUGCUCGAGUGGCGAACGGGUGAGUAACACGUGAGUAACCUGCCCUUGACUGUGGGAUAACUUCAGGAAACUGGGGCUAAUACCGGAUAGGAGCUCCUGCUGCAUGGUGGGGGUUGGAAAGUUUCGGCGGUUGGGGAUGGACUCGCGGCUUAUCAGCUUGUUGGUGGGGUAGUGGCUUACCAAGGCUUUGACGGGUAGCCGGCCUGGGAGGGUGACCGGCCACAUUGGGACUGAGAUACGGCCCAGACUCCUACGGGAGGCAGCAGUGGGGAAUAUUGCACAAUGGGCGGAAGCCUGAUGCAGCAACGCCGCGUGCGGGAUGACGGCCUUCGGGUUGUAAACCGCUUUCGCCUGUGACGAAGCGUGAGUGACGGUAAUGGGUAAAGAAGCACCGGCUAACUACGUG
rnacentral:rRNA from 1 species